rnacentral:rRNA from 1 species
GACGAACGCUGGCUGCGUGCUUAACACAUGCAAGUCGAACGGAAAGGCCCUGCGUUUGUGGGGUGCCCGAGUGGCGAACGGGUGAAUAACACGUGGGUAACCUGCCCUUGACUUUGGGCUAACUUCAGGAAACUGGGGCUAAUACCGCACAGGAGCUCCUGCUGCAUGGUGGGGGUUGGAAAGUUUCGGCGGUCGGGGAUGGACUCGCAGCUUAUCAGCUUGUUGGUGGGGUAGUGGCGUACCAAGGCUUUGACGGGUAGCCGGCCGGAGAGGGUGACCGGCCACGUAGGGGCUGAGAUACGGCCCAGGCUGCAACCGGAGGCAGCAGUGGGGGAUUUGGCGCAAUCGGCGGACGCCGGUUGCAGCAAUGCCGCGCCCGGGAGGCCGGCGUCACGGGAGCUGAUCUAUAUAGCGUGGGACGAAGCGUCCGUGAUGGUAUCAGCGCAACAAGCACCGGCUAAACACCUG